UCCCAUUGCCCUAUCCCGUAUCCUUCUCCUCCCGAUCGAUGUUGCCACCCUCCUCUGUUCGUACCAUCGCUGCCUCCUCUCUGCGGGCACCGUCGGUGCCGUUCUUUUGGCCCCGUCCCAUGGGCUCCUCCAUCGGAGAGGUCACAGCGAUCAGCCCUAUCACCCUUGUUCCGAUUCGUUUCCGUCGCGAGCACGAACCAUCAUCGUUUCUGCCUAAGUCAUCUUUCGCCCGAUGUAGUCGCCAUCGCGUGCUCAGACACCGGCAAACCGCCUCCGACCAGGCAAGCUGACAACCCUCCAUUUCAUGGACCAGCUAUCCGCCCCUCUUCAUGUGAGGCGACCUCAGCGACGCUUUGGCUGUCGCCAUCACUUUUGCCCUCUUCACCUGUUUCCUACGUCCGACGCUGCCUUUCCUCUACACAGGGCAAACACGGCUAGCCGCAACCGUGGCCAUACACAGCCGAACCUGACCGCGGCCAUAAAUGACCGGAUGCCUCCACUCCGGCCAGAUGUUGCCACAAUUGCUAGCACAUAGCCGCAGUCAUAUGUGGCCAGCGCCACCGCCCCCUCAUGCCUGCCUAGUGCGAGCACCUACUGUUGCGGUCAACCGUCACCACAGCUAUAUCGGUCACUGACGCUGUCCUAGCCACCACCAGCCACUAUCAGUUGGCAUUGUUUGCCAACCGCUGUGAGCAGCCACCAGAAGAAAAUCGGCUAGGGUAACGAAGCAAUUAGACUUGAAUCGAUUAUGAUGGGUGUUCUAUGUUGCAAGAUUCUGAUUUGAAGUAGACUUUUUGACGUGAAGAUAGUCAACAUGUUCUACAUAUCAGGUGGGUAGAUUUUACUUCUCAACUACAUAUCAGGUGGGUAGAUUUUACUUGUCUUUUGAGAAACUUUGAUCAUAGUGCAUGAUUGUUUAAUGUCAUGAUUUACUUAGGUCAUAGUUACUUGUUUACCUUAAAUAUGUUAUAUAUUACCCCUAAAUAUAAUACCUUAUUGUUUGUUCUUAUAUUUUGAUCUAUUAUUGAUAGCUAUGCAGUUUUGGUUGUUAUUCAUAAUUUAGUUUAUAUAUAUGUAUGAUAUUACCAUACCAUAGUCUAGUUGUAAGCUUAUGUUCAUGUAUUUAUAUUAUAUUAUGGUUAUAUACUUAGACUCAUGCCUGUAGAGUAUUGAUAUUACAUGUAGUAUGGUUGUAUACUUGUGAGGGCAUAUAUAGUAGUGAGAUGGUAUCGACCUAUAUUUGAUGGAAAUUACUCCCUAUUAGAGAGGUAGCAUAUUCCAUUAGGCUUUUCCCUUCGGAUCAACCCCUAGGAUUACUUAAUCUUGAUCCCGUUGUUUAUUAUAUGUGUGAUGAUAUUAUGGAAUUAAUUGAGAUAUUAAUGCUAGAUGACUAGUAUCCUCUUGAUAAGAUUGGUUGACUAGUAUUUUGGGGACCUAAUUAUCUAUUUUCUGCAUAUAUAUUAGUAGGUUUAUAUCGUAGUAUAGAAUAUCGAGUAUCCAAGUAGACCUUUACUUGUUAUAUAGGCUCAUGUCUAUACAUUAGUAAGAUAAUAGUGUAGUAUUUCGAGUAUCCUAUUAGACCCUUGGUUAGUAUAUCUUAUCGACCAUUUUCUCCCAUUCGUGGUUGAGAGAGUCAUCAUCGACCGUUAGUAUAUCAUGUCUACCAUUGUCUCCUUUUUUUGGUUGAGAGAGUCAUCGACGAUCAUGAUAUAUAUGACUGCCCACGAGACCAUUCGUGGUAGCGAGUUCUCGUGCAGUUCGUAACUAGACAGCUAUAUAUAUAUCCUGUCUACCUACUAGACCAUUCGUGGUAGCGAGUUCGCCCACAAAUAGUGAUUGUUUAUUUAUCCUGUCUACACAUGAGAUUAUUCAUGGUAGUGAGUUCGCCUGCAGACAGUGACUGUUUGUUUACUUUGACUGCCCAUGGGAUCAUCCGUAGUAGAACGUUCUCCUACAGUUAGUGCUUGUUAUAUACUUGCUAUAUAUCAAUCAUGUAUUUGUUCAUGCAGGUUGGGAUGUACCGUAUGCACUCUCAAUUUAUUGAUCACACCUAAUUGAACAGGUUAGUAGAUGAGUAUGUAGUUAGUUAUGAUUCAUUAGUGGUUGAUCAUAUUGAUUCUCUUACUGUUAUAGUAAGUACUUCACCUGAGGCUACAUUCCUUUAAUCUCCUGACAGUAUAUUAUUCAUGCGCUAUUUUCUUCUAUUCACUAAGUUGUUGUACUCACUAUCCCUUGCUUUUCCUUUGACUUUCAGGUUAAUAAAUAGAGGAGGUGUGAUGUUACUCAGAGGUCCUGACUGUCAGUCUCACUCGAGUUUGGAUUUCUAUUUGAGUUGUUGGUGUACUUUUCGCUGUUUGAAAUUUUGGUUUUCUUUCUAUAUCAAAUAUUUAUGUUGUUGGUUAUGUUCUUUGUUAAUUUAAUACGUUCACAUGUACAUACGUACAUACACACAUUAACAUUUUUAUUUGGUUGAUUUUA